rnacentral:rRNA from 1 species
UACGGGGGGGGGCAAGCGUUGUUCGGAAUUACUGGGCGUAAAGGGCUCGUAGGCGGCUUUUCAAGUCGAUUGUGAAAUCCCCGGGCUUAACCUGGGAACUGCAGUCGAGACUGUCUAGCUAGAGUAUGGGAGAGGGAAGUGGAAUUCCUGGUGUAGCGGUGAAAUGCGCAGAUAUCAGGAAGAACACCAAUGGCGAAAGCAGCUCUCUGGGACGGUACUGACGCUGAGACGCGAAAGCGUGGGGAGCGAACAGG